rnacentral:lncRNA from 1 species
UCCUGCCACCACUGUUCCCUCCAGCAAUCACUGCAGAGGCCUUUCUUAGUUUGAGAGUGUUAUCUCCCAUAAAUGGUCAUUAAAAGUCUGCUGUCAGAGACCUCUGAAAACUUUGGUCAAGCAUCUGUUCUGUGGCUUUAUCCCAGCCUCUAGGAGGUAUCUUUGAUGCAGUCCACGGAUUUUAAUGCCAGUUAAGAUGACUAUGCUAAGAACUACUUGAGAAGCUCUUCAGGAAGAGAGGUAAAUUGAAGAAGGAGUGGUGUUCUACAUGUGAAGAGGAGCCCACUGUUCUUUCUUCUGAAGAUGAGAGGAGAUCAAAGAGCAGCAGUAGAUCACAAAGGGGAGACCGUAGGAUUGUAUGGACAACUUUGACUGGGAGAAAGAAUAAUGUGAAAACUGCUGGUACAGUUCUACAUCUAACAUGCUGCAAAAAAGUGGCAAGGAAAGAGUUGAGGAAGUCAUCUUCAGCUGAGAACAUCUCGCUUCUCAGUGAUACUAACAAUAUUCAGCGCCAGACUAAGGUAUAUGAUAAGACUAGGUUUCACAAACUCAUCUUUAUAUUCUGCAUAUAAAGCAGUACACACUUACACUACCAUUGACAAGGUACAGUGCAUAAUUUAUAUGUCUGGAUUGAUAAUC